CGUCUGCUGGCCGCGCGCCUCCCGCUGAGUCAGCCGGUGAGUCAGCGCCGCCGCGCCGGCCGCCGCGGGAGCGGGAGGGAGAGGAGCGGGAGGGGCCGGGGAGGAAGGGCAACUUCCAAAGCAGGGUUUGCGCCCUGUGGCCUGCAGGCCACAUCCAGCACGACUUACGGUUUUGUUCAGCCCAGGAACUAAGAGUGGUUUUUACAUUUUUUGAUGGUUGAAAAAUAUUAGAAGAUGAAUAUUUUGUAACAAAUGGAAACUGUAUGAAAUUCAAAUUUCAGUGUCCACGGAAAGUUUUACUGGAACAGCAAGCUCCUUUGUUGCCUAGGUCCGCGGCUGCUUUGCACAACGACAGCAGAGUCGAGCCAUUGUGAGAGACGAUUGUACCAGGUUUGGCUACUGGGAGUCCGUGUGUCCUUUGCGUGCCCCCAUCAUCCUUUGAGCACUUCCUUACUGUCUAGCACAAGAUGUUCCAGGCUCCUCUGACAACAUGGAUGGACUGUUGCAGUGGAGUUCACCCACCCCAAAUGGGUCUUUGCAUGGGGGUCCAGCUGCACUCCAGUUUCGAAUGAUGAAGGCCUUGGGAGCGCCAGAGGGAGAGGCGCUUUCAAACUCUCCUGAUU